ACCUUUGGCUGUGACAUACAUCGUUCUGGGUCGUAGGCGGUUAACGGGAGUUUGCCAAGUGAUCCUUAUUGUUCAUCCGGAGCGGCGUAUUCAAUUCUUCCACCAUUUAUCGCAGCGGAAUUGCUUCUGUUGGGAAGUCUUUACGGAAAACCCCUUUAUCGAGCAACUUAACUACAGUUGGCGCUUGAGAGUUAAUUUAGUUUGUUGUCACGUCGUAGUCAAGUUAUAAUCAACCCGGACUUCUGCAAGAAUGCAGAGAUGAAUCAAGAAAAUUAUGGUUACGUGAAGUUAAGAUGUGCAGAGCGCGCGUUCAGACUAUGGCUGAGGAGGACCCAUUGGAAUUAGUAUCUUCAAGAAGACUUUUUCAGAACUGAUGUGAAAGAAAGGAAACGGCGAAUUGUCAUCGAUUAUAGAAAAACCAAAGCCUUAUCACAAGAGACCGCGAGAAUUGUGACUGCGACAGAAUGUUCUUGUCUACAAGAUGAAGUGUUGGCUGACUGCCAGCAACAUAGUUUAGCACAGAGGAUUUGUUGGUGGCGACCGCAGAAGUGGUGAUCCCCUAUUCAAUCAAGGCAUUGUUUUGAUAUCUUACUAUACUGCAAAAUUGAAUCUGGAGCAAUAUUUGUAGUACGAUAAUUGCGUAGAGGAUUAGGAAAGAAGGCUAAUUUUAGCCUUGUCAACAGGGCUGAUGGCACAUUUAGUUUGUCCAUCUGUGUAUUACAAUUGAUAUAAAUUCAGCAUUCAAAUAGGUGAUUUUAAUGUGCCUCGUGGUGCGGAAAACUAAAACUGAUGUAGAAUGAGGAGCGCAAAAAGAGUGCAACAAAUCUGUCAACUUUGCUUCAAAAGUAUGAUUGCCAUGAGUGUUAUUGCCAGAUAACGUCUUUCUUAAAAGCUGUGGCCAAUAAUCUGUACUAAGUAUUAGUAAAUUUUUUUAUAUUCA